rnacentral:tRNA from 1 species
AGUUAACGUAGCAAAUUAUGGCAUUGCAAAAGACCUAAGCCCUUUCAACAGAGGUUCAAAUCCUCUCGUUAACU